rnacentral:sRNA from 18 species
GUCAACGACCCCCGACUAAAGUCGGAGGCUUCCAGCCUUGAGUUGACCAGACUCAGUGAAACUUCAACCUAGAUACCUCAUCAGGCAAUACGUUUAAAUAACUAAAGUCAGUGCC